rnacentral:rRNA from 1 species
UGGAGCAAUCCAUGAGUAGAGUGGCAAACGGGUGAGUAACACGUGGGUGACCUGCCUUCGAGUGGGGGAUAACGUCCCGAAAGGGACGCUAAUACCGCAUAACAUGCUGUCUUUUAAGAGAGAGACAUCAAAGCCGGGGACCGCAAGGCCUGGCGCUUGAAGAGGGGCCCGCGCCUGAUUAGCUAGUUGGUGGGGUAAUGGCUCACCAAGGCAACGAUCAGUAUCCGGCCUGAGAGGGCGGACGGACACACUGGGACUGAGACACGGCCCAGACUCCUACGGGAGGCAGCAGUGGGGAAUUGUUCGCAAUGGGCGCAAGCCUGACGACGCAACGCCGCGUGGAGGAUGAAGACCUUCGGG